AAGUCGUAACAAGGUUUCCGUAGGUGAACCUGCGGAAGGAUCAUUAACACGUUAUCCACGUAUCAACCAACGCGAAUUGUUUUCAAUAUCUCCCUCCAAGCAAUGGAUGAGCUGAAUUCCUCUGAGAGUGUGCUGUACGGUACCGCAAGGGCUGAAUCUCUUUGGAAUAACUGAAGCAGUUAGAAAUAAUUGUUUCGACGGCUGUACCAUAGACGGGGCUUAAUAUCGUCUGUCUUCAUGUUCUGCAGGCCGCAGAAGCAGGCGAAUCUCUAUACUUAUUUCACCCCCUUUUUGCUAGUUGACUUUUAUAUGUUGUUCUUUACGAAAGUAUGGAGCACACGUUUAUUUAUUUGAACGUUAAAAAUACAACUCUUAGCAAUGGAUAUCUUGGUUCUC
rnacentral:misc_RNA from 1 species